AUUGAACGCUGGCGGCAGGCUUAACACAUGCAAGUCGAACGAGUGGCGGACGGGUGAGUAAUGUUUGGGAAUCUGGCUUAUGGAGGGGGAUAACGACGGGAAACUGUCGCUAAUACCGCGUACCAUAAGAUGAGCCCAAGUGGGAGUAACUAGUUGGUGUGGUAAUGGCCUACCAAGUCGACGAUCUCUAGCUGGUCUGAGAGGAUGACCAGCCACACCGCAACUUAGACACGGCCCGGACUCCUACGGGAGGCAGCAGUGGGGAAUAGUGCGCAAUGGGCGAAACCUGACGCAGCCAUGCCGCGUGAGUGAAGAAGGCCUUCGGGUUGUAAAGUUCUUUCAGUGACGAGGCGUUAAUCGCCGAAGAAGCACCGGCUAACUCCGUGCCAGCAGCCGCGGUAAUAC
rnacentral:rRNA from 1 species